UACGAGUGCCCCGAGCGUUAUCCGGAAUCAUUGGGCGUAAAGGGUGUGUAGGUGGUCGCAUUAGUCUUCUGUCAAAGCCCCGGGCUUAACCCGGGACCUGCAGGGGAAACGGUGCGACUCGAGGAUGCGAGGGGUGAAUGGAACUCAUGGAGUAGGGGUGAAAUCCGUUGAUAUCAUGGGGAACACCAAAAGCGAAGGCAAUUCACUGGCGCAUUCCUGACACUGAAACACGAAAGCGUGGGUAGCGAACGGG
rnacentral:rRNA from 1 species